GCCCCUAUGGCGUAGUGGUAGCGCGUGUCACUUGUAAUGACAAGGUCUCUCGUUCGAUCCGGGAUGGGGGCA